UACGUAGGGCGCAAGCGUUGUCCGGAAUUAUUGGGCGUAAAGAGCUCGUAGGCGGCUUGUCACGUCGGGUGUGAAAGCUCGGGGCUUAACCCCGGGUCUGCAUUCGAUACGGGCUGGCUGGAGUGUGGUAGGGGAGAUCGGAAUUCCUGGUGUAGCGGUGAAAUGCGCAGAUAUCAGGAGGAACACCGGUGGCGAAGGCGGAUCUCUGGGCCAUUACUGACGCUGAGGAGCGAAAGCGUGGGGAGCAAACAGG
rnacentral:rRNA from 1 species